CAGUCGAACGAUGAAGUCCUAGCUUGCUAGGAUGGAUUAGUGGCGCACGGGUGAGUAAUAUAUAGUUAAUCUGCCCUACACAGAGGAACAACAGUUGGAAACGGCUGCUAAUACCUCAUACUCCUAUUUAACAUAAGUUAAAUAGGGAAAGUCUUUUCGGUGUAGGAUGAGACUAUAUCGUAUCAGCUAGUUGGUGAGGUAAUGGCUUACCAAGGCUAUGACGCGUAACUGGUCUGAGAGGAUGAUCAGUCACAUUGGAACUGAGACACGGUCCAAACUCCUACGGGAGGCAGCAGUAAGGAAUAUUGCGCAAUGGGGGAAACCCUGACGCAGCAACGCCGCGUGGAGGAUGACACUUUUCGGAGCGUAAACUCCUUUUAUCAGGAAAGAAUAAUGACGGUACCUGAUGAAUAAGCACCGGCUAACUCCGUGCCAGCAGCCGCGGUAAUACGGGGGGUGCAAGCGUUACUCGGAAUCACUGGGCGUAAAGGACGCGUAGGCGGAUUAUCAAGUCUUUUGUGAAAUCUAGUGGCUUAACCACUAAACUGCUUAGGAAACUGAUAGUCUAGAGUAGGGGAGAGGUAGAUGGAAUUCUUGGUGUAGGGGUAAAAUCCGUAGAGAUCAAGAAGAAUACCCAUUGCGAAAGCGAUCU
rnacentral:rRNA from 1 species